UCCGAUCGAUUACAAUUCAAUUCUUUUCAAAAAUAAACCAAAAUCUUCACACGUGAAAUUCAUUUCUGUCUCAUUUUAUUAAAAUUUAGUUUUUUACUGGUAGUUAGGUCAACUUCAUACAGUAUAAUGUCUGGGAGGGAAGGAGGUAAGAAGAAGCCUUUAAAGCAACCAAAAAAGAAAACACAAGAACUUGACGAGGAUGACAUGGCCCAUAAACAAAAAAUGAAAGAUGACCAAAAAAAAUUACAAGAAGCAAAAGCCAAGGCUUCUGGCAAAGGACCAAUGGGUUCAGGUGGUAUUAAAAAGUCCAAAAAAUGAACAAUAUAUAUUUUGUUAUUAUAUUUUGUGUUAGAUGUCAGAAGUAGAUAAUAUUGUAUAUAUACAAUAACAUGCAUAUCACAACAAUCUCAUUCUGACUGUUUCAUAUAUGUAAACCUUUAUGAGAAUUGAAUUGAUGUGACCUAGCUAUUAUUGUUCACAAUCUUUCAAAUUGUAGAUAGGUUUAAUUUUUGUGAACUUCCAUUUAUGUUUUGUAAUAAUUAAUAUACAAUAAGUGUCUAAGCUACCUAGAAUUGAAAAAAUUAAAACAAAAUGCUAUAUGGUC